CUGCAUUUUGCAUGAGCUAUCUAGGUCAUUAGCAUUUUAGCGUAUGCAAGACUUGACAAGGCUGAUGAGGGGCCAGAUGGGCCUCGCUCUUAUUUAUUUUUUUUUUUUCUUUUCCUUUUUCCCAUCCACCACUUGGGACCUAAGCGAGAGGACCGCAGCAGGAGAGUUCCGGAAGGCUGAUUCCCACAGAUCCUGGUAAGGGACCGCAGCAGCUCUGCCCUGCGGCACGCCCGGCCAGGCUACACCCGGACUCUACACUCAAGGAAAAAGCUUGGAAACGAAAGGAUGCGGGAGAACAAAGAGCCUACGGAGGACGUGGCUGUUAUCUCAUUGUCUGUGACUGGGGGAGCUGCGGUAGGAAGGAUGCGGUGGUCCUUAGCUCAUCGCGUUCCCCAACCCCACACCCUCCCUGCUGUCAGUGCGCACGCACACGCACGCGUCGCCAGCUUUUUCUUUCUCAUCUCUCAUUUUUUUCAUCUCAUCUUCUCCCCAUCCCCUCCCUUUCUUUCCACCUUUCCUUCCUUUCUUCCUCCCUUCCUUUCUCCCAUCCUCCCUCCCUCUCUUCCAUCCUUCCUUCCUUUCCAUCCUUCCUUCUUUCUUUCCUUCCUUCCUUCUUUCUUUCCUUCCUUCCUUCUUCCUUCCUCAGGAGAAAGGCCUCUCUCUCCGUGUUCACAGCGGACCUUGAU
rnacentral:lncRNA from 1 species